AUGAACGCUGGCGGCGUGCCUCAUACAUGCAAGUCGCGCGAACGGACGAGAAGCUUGCUUCUCUGAUGUUAGCGGCGGACGGGUGAGUAACACGUGGAUAACCUACCUAUAAGACUGGGAUAACUUCGGGAAACCGUAGCUAAUACCGGAUAAUAUUUUGAACCGCAUGGUUCAAAAGUGAAAGACGGUCUUGCUGUCACUUAUAGAUGGAUCCGCGCUGCAUUAGCUAGUUGGUAAGGUAACGGCUUACCAAGGCAACGAUGCAUAGCCGACCUGAGAGGGUGAUCGGCCACACUGGAACUGAGACACGGUCCAGACUCCUACGGGAGGCAGCAGUAGGGAAUCUUCCGCAAUGGGCGAAAGCCUGACGGAGCAACGCCGCGUGAGUGAUGAAGGUCUUCGGAUCGUAAAACUCUGUUAUUAGGGAAGAACAUAUGUGUAAGUAACUGUGCACAUCUUGACGGUACCUAAUCAGAAAGCCACGGCUAACUACGUG
rnacentral:rRNA from 1 species